rnacentral:rRNA from 1 species
GACGAACGCUGGCGGCGUGCCUAACACAUGCAAGUCGAGCGAUGAAGCUCCUUCGGGAGUGGAUUAGCGGCGGACGGGUGAGUAACACGUGAGUAACCUGCCUCAUAGAGAGGGAUAGCCUUCCGAAAGGAAGAUUAAUACCUCAUAAGAUUGUAGUUUCGCAUGAAACGGCAAUAAAAGGAGCAAUCCGCUAUGAGAUGGACCCGCGUCGCAUUAGCUAGUUGGUAAGGUAAUGGCUUACCAAGGCGACGAUGCGUAGCCGACCUGAGAGGGUGAUCGGCCACAUUGGGACUGAGACACGGCCCAGACUCCUACGGGAGGCAGCAGUGGGGAAUAUUGCACAAUGGGGGAAACCCUGAUGCAGCAACGCCGCGUGAGUGAUGACGGUCUUCGGAUUGUAAAACUCUGUCUUUGGGGACGAUAAUGACGGUACCCAAGGAGGAAGCCACGGCUAACUACGUGCCAGCAGCCGCAGUAAAAC